CACGCCGUAAACGAUGUCAACUAGUUGUUGGGUUCCUUGUGGACUUAGUAACGCAGCUAACGCAUUAAGUUGACCGCCUGGGGAGUACGGCCGCAAGGUUAAAACUCAAAUGAAUUGACGGGGGCCCGCACAAGCGGUGGAGCAUGUGGUUUAAUUCGAAGCAACGCGAAGAACCUUACCUGGCCUUGACAUGUAACGAAUCCUUCAGAGAUGAGGGAGUGCCUUCGGGAACGUUAACACAGGUGC
rnacentral:rRNA from 1 species